UACUUGUUUUUGCAUCUACAGCGAAGCAGGAGCUAUGGUGCCCUAAGCUUGUCAAUGUAUGCAUUUGGCAAAAUGACCUGGAGAGAAUCUCUCGAAGUACAGGAGAAAGCUAUAAUGUCCAAAUGGAAGUGCAGGCCUUACUGUUAUCCUUCCACAACCAAAAUAAAUUAAUUAAUGUUUUCUUUGUUUCAUAUAUAGAUUGAUUACGUAAAAUGACUGGCUUAAUUUUUGCCGUUUCAUUUGGUCUCCAUUUUUUGUUAUUCAGUCCUUGUGAAGGUAAAGGGUAGGCACGAAGCUCUAGGAAGAUGUUCUGCG